AUAGACGGAGGCACAGAGAGUUAAAUAAGGCCAGUGACACUAUUACAGACAACUGAGAGGGCAAGAGUAAUGGCAACAGGUAUGGAGUUCCCAUCUUCCGGAAAUGUGGUAGAGUAACCUCCUGCCAACUGGGGCUUUCCUCCUCUGAUAGCACUAUCAGUCACUUUGAGGAUGGCAGGAGAAAAGCUACAGAAGUUUGAACCCUCAGGACAAGAUGGAAAAAGGAAGUCAGCAUCUCAUCUCUCUACAGAAUGAAACGUUGUUGGAGAAAAAAAUCUAACCUGACUGGAGAAGCUAAGAUUAAUGUAGAGACUCUUGAUAGCAUUAGAUACAGUAUCUAAGAGAUACACCAAGUUCCAGCAGGCAGGACUUGUCAAGAAUGGAAUUAUUUGAAUAUGUUUAUUUUCCUUGUUUGUUUCCUCU
rnacentral:lncRNA from 1 species